GAUGAACGCUGGCGGCGUGCCUAAUACAUGCAAGUCGAACGAAGAUCUAGCUUGCUAGAUCUUAGUGGCGAACGGGUGAGUAAUACAUAAAUAAUCUGCCCAUAUGACUGGGAUAACUAUUGGAAACGAUAGCUAAUACCGGAUAGGUUGAUCGGAGGCAUCUCUGAUGAAUUAAAGUAGGAUUUCUACACAAAUGGAUGAGUUUAUGGCGCAUUAGUUAGUUGGUGGGGUAACGGCCUACCAAGACGAUGAUGCGUAGCCGACCUGGGAGGGUGACCGGCCACACUGGGACUGAGACACGGCCCAGACUCCUACGGGAGGCAGCAGUAGGGAAUUUUCGGCAAUGGGCGCAAGCCUGACCGAGCAACGCCGCGUGAGUGAUUAAGGCCUUCGGGUUGUAAAGCUCUGUUGUAAGGGAAGAACAUACAGGAUAGGAAAUGAUCUUGAACUGACGGUACCUUACCAGAAAGCCACGGCUAACUACGUGCCAGCAGCCGCCGUAAAAC
rnacentral:rRNA from 1 species